GCGGGUAUGGCGGACUUGGCAGACGCGCCGGAUUUAGGUUCCGGUGGAUACUCCGUGCAGGUUCAAGUCCUGUUACCCGUACCA
rnacentral:tRNA from 1 species